CUUGAUCCAUCCCUUCUCAUGUUUGGUGGGUUCAUUGGGUGGAAAACGAAAUAUCACUGUGCAACUAAAAAUUUGCUCACGGUAGAUAACACAAAAAAUUCACAACUCAUAACACCUGUACACACCAUUUAAAGCUCAUGGGCAGUUAAUACAUAAAGAAAGCCAGAAAACAUGGGAGAGAGACCCUCUUCGUGAUUUUGAAUGAGCCAAUCACCUAACAACAUGGAAUACAGAAAGCAACAUCUAUGAGGGAAGACACAGAAACUUGUACUAAUAGUGCUCCAUAGGAGAAGAUGCAAGAAAAGAUGAUCUGCUGCUGGUACCAGAGGUGAGGUUUACUUUGUUACAAAAGAAUGAAAGAUCAUUGACACCCAACAGCAGAAACUGCAUGGUCUAUACCCUUACCAUCAUACUACCACAAGUAGAACCAGAAAAAAAUUGGCAUAACCUAAAGUGAGAAACCAACAAAAGUGAGAAUUUACAGCAAAGUCAAACUUCAAAAUAAAUCUGCAAACCCAGGGACUUCCAAGCACAUGAGGCCAAGUAUUCUGCUAGACGUUCUUUUCUGCAACCGACAGAUCUUCUCAUUUUCCAUACCAUUAUAGAGCAAAAUCAGAAAACUUACGAAUACAACUGCACCAACAAAUACAGACCUUAUCCAAUUCUGUAAAUACCCAAAAAAUCAUCAACCAUCUCUGGUCAUCAGGAAAAUGAACAGAUAAUAAUGGCAAGAAACCUCAAAAAAAUCAUCCUAGACUCCUCCCAACCACCAAGCUUCCAACAGCUACAAACCAUGGAGAAGAAACCUGCACCUGGGAGAAAAUUGAAACCCACCAGAUCAGAUAAGACAACUGGCAGAAGAAAAGAACUCGAGUUGCCUGCCCUCCCCAUUAUGACCAAGCAGGGAUGUUUAUAGAGUAACACGAUGAAACAAAUGAGUACAAGAUUAAGUAGAGAGAUAUCAACACCAAACCAUCAAAGACAAACAUAUAAAGAUCAUGUAAUCAAAACCACCAGACAUUCUCAUUAUCACAUUAUGCAAGACCUGAAUAAAAUCUUGCACACAUGGAGCCACUAUCAACAUCUCUAACCAUCAGAAAGAGGCUGCCAGCUCUACCCCCAUUAGGGGAAGGGGGAGAAAGAAGAUAGGUCUUAACCGAAACCUGAUUCACAAAAGAAUUCCAAGAGAACUCCUAAGAACCUGCACCUAAAAUCAUAGUCGGAACCCUCUUCACCAAAAUGUUGUUUCCUAAUGAUACAACCAAGAAAAUCAAAGCACAGUGGAACAUACUCAUAGAUUAUAUACAAGGAAAAAUUAUUUUUAAAAAAAACAGAAAACUCCUCUAAAAUCAUACGAUAUCCAAAGUAUAACAGCCAUACGUAAAGUGCAACAUGUGAAUGAAGAGUUAUACUCCAUGAAUGGAGGCAAAGACAGC
rnacentral:lncRNA from 1 species